rnacentral:rRNA from 1 species
GUUGGGAAUCUUGCACAAUGGGGGAAACCCUGAUGCAGCGACGCCGCGUGGAGGAUGACGGAUCUAGGUCUGUAAACUCCUUUUUCAUGGAAAGACUUAGGACGGUACCAUGAGAAUAAGGACCGGUUAACUACGUGCCAGCAGCCGCGGUAAGACGUAGGGUCCAAGCGUUGUCCGGAUUUACUGGGCGUAAAGAGCGCGUAGGCGGUCUGUUAAGUGUGAAGUGAAAUCUCCAGGGCUCAACCCGGAAACUGCUUCGCAUACUGGCAGACUUGAGGAAUGCAGAGGUUUGUGGAAUUCCUGGUGUAACGGUGAAAUGUGUUGAUAUCAGGAGGAACACCCAUGGCGAAGGCAGCAAACUGGGCAUUAUCUGACGCUGAGGCGCGAAAGCGUGGGUAGCAAACAGGAUUAGAUACCCUGGUAGUCC